rnacentral:misc_RNA from 1 species
AGCAGCCGCGGUAAUUCCAGCUCCAAUAGCGUAUAUUAAAGUUGUUGCAGUUAAAAAGCUCGUAGUUGAAUUUCGGGAUUGACACAUCGGUCGUGCCUUAAGGGGUAUGAACUGGUGUAGUCAAUUUCUCACCUUCUGGAGAACCGCAAUGCCCUUAAUUGGGUGUCGCGGGGAACCAGGACCUUUACUUUGAAAAAAUUAGAGUGUUUAAAGCAGGCAUUUUGCUUGAAUACAUUAGCAUGGAAUAAUAAAAUAGGACGGCAUGAUUCUAUUUUGUUGGUUUCUAGGAUCACCGUAAUGAUUAAUAGGGAUAGUUGGGGGCAUUAGUAUUCAAUUGUCAGAGGUGAAAUUCUUGGAUUUAUUGAAGACUAACUACUGCGAAAGCAUUUGCCAAGGAUGUUUUCAUUAAUCAAGAACGAAAGUUAGGGGAUCGAAGACGAUCAGAUACCGUCGUAGUCUUAACCAUAAACUAUGCCGACUAGGAAUCAGACGAUGUUAAUUUUUUAAUGACUCGUUUGGU